AGAACGAACGCUGGCGGCAUGCCUAACACAUGCAAGUCGAACGAGACCUUCGGGUCUAGUGGCGCACGGGUGCGUAACGCGUGGGAAUCUACCCUUGGGUUCGGAAUAACAGUUGGAAACGACUGCUAAUACCGGAUGAUGACGUAAGUCCAAAGAUUUAUCGCCCAGGGAUGAGCCGCGUAGGAUUAGCUAGUUGGUGAGGUAAAGGCUCACCAAGGCGACGAUCCUUAGCUGGUCUGAGAGGAUGAUCAGC
rnacentral:rRNA from 1 species